GUUCUUCGUUUUGCUCGACCUAAACCCGCCUCCCUCCCCAAAAUCAUUGAUCCCAGAUUCCGGCCCCUAAAAUCAUCAAAACCAUGGACAAAUCUCUUGCAGUACGUCAUAUCCCAAAUCCCCAGCCUUAUUUCUCCAUAAUUUUGACAGAUUAACCUUUUGUUGUUUGAAAAUCCCCAAACCAUCGAAACCCUAAUUCUGGAAAAGUGUUGUUUCCUUCACCGAAAGGUCAAGAAGGUCAAGCUCACCGUCCUCCAGUUCUACAAGGUCGACGACUCCGGCAAGGUGCAGAAGCUGAGGAAGGAGUGAAAGAGAAGGCAGAGGGAGAGCAUUUUUCUGGAUUAAACCCUGGAUGUUUAGGUAGUUUUGGAGCUAAAAAGUACUAUUGCA